CGCACAUUGCGCCCAGUAGUAUUCUAUUGGGCAUGCCUGUUCGAGCGUCAUUUCAACCCUUAAGCCUAGCUUAGUGUUGGGAAUCUACUGUCCGGGCUGGCUACUCUGUAGCCACCCUGUAGUUCCUGAAAUUCAACGGCGGAUCUGUGGUAUCCUCUGAGCGUAGUAAUUUAUUGUCUCGCUUUUGUCAGGUGCUGCAGCUUUUGCCGCUAAACCCCCCAAUUUCUUAAUGGUUGACCUCGGAUCAGGUAGGAAUACCCGCUGAACUUAA
rnacentral:misc_RNA from 1 species